AUUGAACGCUGGCGGCAGGCCUAACACAUGCAAGUCGAACGGUAACAGGAAGCAGCUUGCUGCUUUGCUGACGAGUGGCGGACGGGUGAGUAAUGUCUGGGAAACUGCCUGAUGGAGGGGGAUAACUACUGGAAACGGUAGCUAAUACCGCAUAACGUCGCAAGCCCAAAGAGGGGGACCUUCGGGCCUCUUGCCAUCGGAUGUGCCCAGAUGGGAUUAGCUAGUAGGUGGGGUAACGGCUCACCUAGGCGACGAUCCCUAGCUGGUCUGAGAGGAUGACCAGCCACACUGGAACUGAGACACGGUCCAGACUCCUACGGGAGGCAGCAGUGGGGAAUAUUGCACAAUGGGCGCAAGCCUGAUGCAGCCAUGCCGCGUGUAUGAAGAAGGCCUUCGGGUUGGAAAGUACUUUCAGCGGGGAGGAAGGGAGUAAAGUUAAUACCUUUGCUCAUUGACGUUACCCGCAGAAGAAGCACCGGCUAACUCCGUGC
rnacentral:rRNA from 1 species